UGGGGAAUAUUGCACAAUGGGGGAAACCCUGAUGCAGCAACGCCGCGUGAGUGAUGAAGGCCUUCGGGUUGUAAAGCUCUGUCUUUGGGGACGAUAAUGACGGUACCCAAGGAGGAAGCCACGGCUAACUACGUGCCAGCAGCCGCGGUAAUACGUAGGUGGCAAGCGUUGUCCGGAUUUACUGGGCGUAAAGGGAGCGUAGGUGGAUAUUAAGUGGGAUGUGAAAUCCCCGGGCUUAACCUGGGGGCUGCAUUCCAAACUGGAUGUCUAGAGUGCAGGAGAGGAUAGUGGAAUUCCUAGUGUAGCGGUGAAAUGCGUAGAGAUUAGGAAGAACACCAGUGGCGAAGGCGACUCUCUGGACUGUAACUGACACUGAGGCUCGAAAGCGUGGGGAGCAAACA
rnacentral:rRNA from 1 species